rnacentral:rRNA from 1 species
CUACGGGACGCUGCAGUGGGGAAUAUUGCACAAUGAGCGAAAGCUUGAUGCAGCCAUACCGCGUGUGUGAAGAAGGCCCGAGGGUUGUAAAGCACUUUCAAUUGUGAGGAAGGUUCAGUAGUUAAUACCUGCUGUUCUUGACGUUAACUUUAGAAGAAGCACCGGCUAACUCUGUGCCAGCAGCCGCGGUAAUACAGAGGGUGCAAGCGUUAUUCGGAAUUACUGGGCGUAAAGCGCGCGUAGGCGGAUUGUUAAGUCAGUUGUGAAAGCCCUGGGCUCAACCUGGGAACUGCAUCUGAUACUGGCAAUCUAGAGUUUAAGAGAGGGAAGUGGAAUUCCAGGUGUAGCAGUGAAAUGCGUAGAUAUCUGGAGGAACAUCAGUGGCGAAGGCGACUUCCUGGCUUAAAACUGACGCUGAGGUGCGAAAGCGUGGGUAGCGAACGGGAUUAGAUACCCGUGUAGUC